rnacentral:rRNA from 1 species
GAUGAAUGCUGGCGGUGUGCCUUAAGCAUGCAAGUCGAACGGUAAAUUCCCUUCGGGGAAUACGAGUGGCAGACGGGUGAGUAAUACGUAGGAACUUACCCUAAAGUGGGGAAUAGCUCAUCGAAAGGUGGGGUAAUGCCGCAUAUGGUCGCAAGAUCAAAGUCGCAAGACGCUUUAGGAGAGGCCUGCGCCCUAUCAGGUAGUUGGUGAGGUAAUGGCUCACCAAGCCAAUGACGGGUAGCCGGUGUGAGAGCAUGACCGGCCACAAGGUAACUGAGACACGGUGCCUACACCUACGGGUGGCAGCAACUGGGAAUAUUGCGCAAUGCACGAAAGUGUGAACGAGCGACGCCGCGCGAGCGAUGAAGCCCUUCGGGGUGUAAAGCUCUUUUAUUAGGGAAAAACUUUGAUUGUACCUAGUGAAUAAGAGGUUGCUAACUCUGUGCCAGCAGCAGCGGUAAUACAGAGACCUCAAGCGUUAUCCGGAUUUAUUGGGCGUAAAGCGUCUGUAGGUUGGAUAAAUAGUCAGAUGUCAAAUUCUAGGGCUUAACCUUAGAACUGCAUUUGAAACGUUUAUUCUAGAGGAUAGUAGGGGCAAGUAGAACUUAUAGUGUAGCAGUAAAAUGCGUUGAUAUUAUAAGGAAUACCAAAAGCGAAGGCAUCUUGCUGGACUAUUCCUGACACUGAGAGACGAAAGCGUGGGUAGCGAAUGGGAUUAGAUACCCCAGUAGUCCACGCCGUAAACGAUGGAUAUUAGGCAUUAGGAGUGUCGACCCUUUUAGUGCCGAAGCUAACGCGUUAAAUAUCCCGCCUGGGAAGUACGGCCGCAAGGCUAAAACUCAAAGGAAUAGACGGGGACCUGCACAAGCGGUGGAACAUGUGGUUUAAUUCGACGAUAAACGAGGAACCUUACCCAGGCUAGAAGCCAUUCGAAUCCCGAUGAAAGUUGGGAGUGCCGCAAGGAGCGAAUGGACAGGUGCUGCAUGGUUGCCGUCAGCUCGUGCCGUGAGGUGUUCGGUUAAGUCCAGCAACGAGCGCAACCCUUGUCAAAUGUUGUAUUUUUCAUUUGAUACUGCCCGAGUUAAUUGGGAGGAAGGUGGGGACGACGUCAAAUCAGCAUGGCCCUAGACGCCUGGGGCUACACACAUGUUACAAUGGUGAUUACAAUGGGUUGCCAAGUCGAAAGACGGAGCUAAUCCCAUCAAAGGUCACCUCAGUUCGGAUUGAGGGCUGCAACUCGCCCUCAUGAAGCCGGAAUCGCUAGUAAUCGUGAAUCAGCUAUGUCACGGUGAAUACGUUCUCAGGUCUUGUACUCACCGCCCGUCACAUCAAGAGAGUCGGUAAUACCCGAAGC